AUUGAACGCUGGCGGCAGGCCUAACACAUGCAAGUCGAGCGGUAGCGGGCCUUCGGGCGCUGACGAGCGGCGGACGGGUGAGGAACACGUAGGAAUCUGCCUUGUAGUGGGGGAUAGCCCAGAGAAAUUUGGAGUAAUACCGCAUAUGCCCUGAGGGGGAAAGUGGGGGACCGAAAGGCCUCACGCUAUGAGAGGAGCCUGCGUCGGAUUAGCUAGUUGGUGGGGUAAGAGCCCACCAAGGCGACGAUCCGUAGCUGGUCUGAGAGGAUGAUCAGCCACACUGGGACUGAGACACGGCCCAGACUCCUACGGGAGGCAGCAGUGGGGAAUAUUGGACAAUGGGCGAAAGCCUGAUCCAGCCAUGCCGCGUGAGUGAAGAAGG
rnacentral:rRNA from 1 species